CGAAAGCCUGACGGAGCAAUCUCGCGUGAGGGAUGACGGCCUAUGGGUUGUAAACCUCUUUUUUCAGGGAGGAAUAAAAUGACGUGUACCUGAAGAAUAAGCAUCGGCUAACUCCGUGCCAGCAGCCGCGGUAGGACGGAGGAUGCAAGUGUUAUCCGGAAUCACUGGGCGUAAAGCGUCUGUAGGUGGUUUACUAAGUCAACUGUUAAAUCUUGAAGCUCAACUUCAAAAUCGCAGUCGAAACUAGUAGACUAGAGUAUAGUAGGGGUAAAGGGAAUUUCCAGUGGAGCGGUGAAAUGCGUAGAGAUUGGAAAGAACACCGAUGGCGAAGGCACUUUACUGGGCUAUUACUGACACUCAGAGACGAAAGCUAGGGUAGCA
rnacentral:rRNA from 1 species